ensembl:lncRNA
CUGCACCGCUAAAAUACAAAAGAAAUCGUGUUUUGUUUAUGGUAUUGAUAUGGAGUUUCAGGCAGAUCUGGUCGAUAUGUCUGCAUACGCCAAGGAAAAAGAAUGAUAAGGUGAAAAAAGUGACAUUUUAUGUCUAGAAAGUGACUUUUCAUCAAAAGUGCAAUAACAAAACUAGUUCCCAUUCAUCCUGUGUCCCCUUACACACUUGUGCUCUUUAUCCGCUCAAAACGCUAUACAGCGAACGAGAAGGCGCUAGGAGCAAAGGAAAGUGGUUUUUCUAACAAACUCAUAUAAUCAGUUGCCCGACCUAGUCCAAUUUGAUUGUUUUCACAUAUUUAGACAUAAUAUAGUACUAUGAAAUGUUUCUGACCCAAAAAAUUACGAAAUAUGAUUGUUUACAUUAAAAUGCAAAAGUUGAUGAAAAAGUAUGAUAAGGUGAAAAAAGUGACAUUUUAUGUCUAGAAAGUCACUUUUCAUCAAAAGUACAAUAACAAAACUAGUUCCCAUUCAUUCUGUGUCCCCUUACACACUUGUGCUCUUUAUGCUCUGAAAACGCUAUAGAGCGAACGAGAAGGCGCUAGGAGCAAAGGAAAGUGGUUUUUCUAACAAACUCAUAUAAUC